GCAAGUGAUGAGAGUAUGUUCGAGUAUCUAAAUGUUGUCAGCAAGAUGUUUGAUAGUGAGGCUGAAGGCUAUGAAUUCUACAACAAAUAUGCUCUUGAAAAAGGUUUUAGUGUGAGGAAAAGCUACGUUGAGUGGGAUGGAUCCAACAAAUACAUAAUUUUAAGGAAAAUUGUGUGUAGUCGUCAAGGGUUUCGCGAAGAGAAGCACAUGAAAAGAAAGAUGGAAGAUAGAAAGAGGAGGCCACGAAGUUUAACUCGUGUUGGGUGUAAUGUUAAAUUGGUCAUUACGAGACAGGAGGAAACCGGUCGGUGGUUUGUCAAGGAUUUCAUCGAUGAGCACAGCCAUCCUCUAGCCCCACGGGAUCUUUCUUGUCUGCUGCGUUCGCACAGACGAAUUAGCGAUGAGCAGAAAGCGGACAUUGCGGACAUGGAAAAAUGUGGGAUCCGCAAAUACCGUAUUAUGGAUAUUUUGUGCUUUCAAUACGGUGGAUUUGAUAAGGUUGGAUGCAUAAAGAGGGACAUUUAU
rnacentral:rRNA from 1 species